rnacentral:rRNA from 1 species
CCUACGGGAGGCAGCAGUGGGGAAUCUUGGACAAUGGGCGCAAGCCUGAUCCAGCCAUGCCGCGUGAGUGAUGAAGGCCCUAGGGUCGUAAAGCUCUUUCGCCAGGGAUGAUAAUGACAGUACCUGGUAAAGAAACCCCGGCUAACUCCGUGCCAGCAGCCGCGGUAAUACGGAGGGGGUUAGCGUUGUUCGGAAUUACUGGGCGUAAAGCGCGCGUAGGCGGAUUGGAAAGUUAGAGGUGAAAUCCCAGGGCUCAACCCUGGAACUGCCUUUAAAACUCCCAGUCUAGAGUUCGAGAGAGGUGAGUGGAAUUCCGAGUGUAGAGGUGAAAUUCGUAGAUAUUCGGAGGAACACCAGUGGCGAAGGCGGCUCACUGGCUCGAUACUGACGCUGAGGUGCGAAAGUGUGGGGAGCAAACAGGAUUAGAUACCCUGGUAGUCCACACCGUAAACGAUGAAUGCCAGUCGUCGGGUAGCAUGCUAUUCGGUGACACACCUAACGGAUUAAGCAUUCCGCCUGGGGAGUACGGUCGCAAGAUUAAAACUCAAAGGAAUUGACGGGG